CAGUCGCCGCGGGAAUACGUAGGUCCCGAGCGUUGUCCGGAUUUAUUGGGCGUAAAGCGAGCGCAGGCGGUUUGAUAAGUCUGAAGUUAAAGGCUGUGGCUCAACCAUAGUUCGCUUUGGAAACUGUCAAACUUGAGUGCAGAAGGGGAGAGUGGAAUUCCAUGUGUAGCGGUGAAAUGCGUAGAUAUAUGGAGGAACACCGGUGGCGAAAGCGGCUCUCUGGUCUGUAACUGACGCUGAGGCUCGAAAGCGUGGGGAGCGAACAGGAUUAGAUACCCCUGUAGUCCCUGUCUCUAUACAC
rnacentral:rRNA from 1 species